rnacentral:tRNA from 1 species
GAUGAACUGGACGACGAAGACAUGGAUGCGGGCUUCUCCCCUGCGGCAUGCUGCGGCCGCGGCGACGCGGAUGUUCUAGUCAUCCGAAUAUCG